rnacentral:tRNA from 1 species
GCCGGCGUGGUGGAACGGCAGACACGGCAGACUCAAAAUCUGCUGAGGGCAACUUCGUGAGAGUUCAAGUCUCUCCGCCGGCA